rnacentral:sRNA from 1 species
UGCAGGUCGGUGGUGUCGACCCACGUGU